CAAGAUAUAGCUUAAAUAAAGCAUCUAGUUUACACCUAGAAGAUUACACAGCCCGUGCAUAUCUUGA
rnacentral:tRNA from 1 species